GGACCUGUGGCGCAACGGGAAGCGCGGCUGAUUGUCGAUCAGCAGGUUGCGGGAUCGUAUCCCGUCGGGUCCGCCA
rnacentral:tRNA from 1 species